rnacentral:rRNA from 1 species
AGUGAACGCUGGCGGUGGGCCUAACACAUGCAAGUCGAACGGCAGCACCGUAAGAGCUUGCUCUUACGGGUGGCGAAUGGCGGGCGGGUGAGGAAUACAUCGUACUCUACUUUUUCGUGGAGGAUAACGUAGGGAAACUUACUCUCAUACCGCAUACGACCUACGGGUCAAAGCAGGGGAUCUUCGGGCCUUGCGCGAAUGACUGAGCCGAUGUCGGAUUAGCUAGUUGGCGGGGUAACGGCCCCCCAAGGGGGCGAUCCGUCGCUGAUCUGGGAGGAUGAAGAGCCACACUGGAACUGAACCACGGCCCAGACACCGACGGGAGGCAGCGGUGGGGAAGAGUGGACAAUGGGCGGAAGCCUGAUCCAGCCAUACCGGGUGGGUGAAGAAGGGCUUCGUGUUGGAAAGCCCUGUUGUGGGGAAAGAAAAGCGGCAGGUUAAAACCCGGCUGUUCUGACGGUACCCAAAGAAGAAGCACCGGCUAACUACGUG